CUGACCCUAUAAUUAAGCUAGGAGUAAUUACAAUAGACCUAUAUAUGGAAGGAAUUGGUGCUGAUAGCUACACACAGCAGGGACCAAAUUAGUGGCAUAAUAUCAGUGACAGUUAUUGACAUAAUAUCAGACAUUUUGGUCAACAUCUAAUUAUUAGGAUCAUAACUUUCUCUAACUACCGGCCAGGGUGAUGGUUCUCCUAAGAGAAAGGGCCUCACCAAUAACUGGUUCAUAUUCUGUUUGGAGAAAAGAGGUACCAGCCGCAAGGAGUUUGCCUGUAUGAUCCCUGAAAGACACACCCAGACCUUUCCCCUUGUUUUCGCGAAUGGAGGCAUCAAAGUUACCUUUGAUCAUUCCUAUUUCUGGAGGCUUCCAACGAGGAGGGAUCGGGGACGCAUGAUUCAACCGACUUUGGUUUUGUUAUGGUUCUGGGGUCAGCAUUCUGGAAGCUUGGAGAAGAACUUGGUCAGGUGCCACACGCUUUUGGUCGAAGAGCCACGUAUUCCUUCUUUUCCAGAUGGCCCAUGCCACUGAGAAGAGCCAUUGUUGGCCAGUUUCAGGAAGCUGAGGUAACAGAUGUGCGAGCCAAUCUUUGAAGCUCAUGCCCUUCAUAAAAGUGUAUUAACAUGUAUCGUAAGUUCGUCACAUCGUCAUCUCAUACAUUAAGAAAAAAACAUUGUCAUCUCAUCUAAUUUAAUUUCAUCAAAUA
rnacentral:lncRNA from 1 species